GGGGCCUGAAAUAAAUGUAAAGAAAAUUUUUUUUGAUAUAUUUAAUGGAGAAGUGAUGAAUAUCAAGAAAUACAAAUUAUUUUCUUUGUGGAGGAGAAAUUGUGACACAGCUGUAAAAAUAUGAGGUGCGUGACUGAGAUCUCAUCACUGCAAACAUAAAUGACCUCUGGAAGAACUUAAAUGGCUAGACUUCAAAGAAAACCCACAGAUUCUAUCCUUUGUCCAGUUACCAAGGUUCAAUAGUGAUCGUGAGAGUGGUUCGGUGGUUGAUCCUGUAUAAGAUUGUCACAUGAACCCAAACUGUCCUCAAUGUUGUUUGAGUUGUUAGAAUUCAAAAUUAAUGCGAUCAGCCAUCACAGAAGUCCUUCUUCCAGUUGAUUUGGAGAUGACAUCCAAGUAUAGGUCUCCAUUACUCAAAUUGUUCAUUUGACUUAAUACAUGUGUACUGCCUAACAAAUAUACAGAGUUGGGUAUUAUAGGAAAACUUCACAUGGAGCCAGACAAAACACUUCCAGUAGGAUCAGAACACAGAAGCACGAAACAUUGUCCCAACAUUUAACAUGUUUUUAUGUGUUUAGAGACAGUUCAUUAUCAUUUGAAAAUCCUAUUUUCACAAUUGCAAAGACUGACUUGUGCAACAUCAGGAACAGUGCCAGAUUUAAUUGUUUUCUAAGAAGACCAGAUGUGGAAAUUAUGAUUACUGACUCUUUUUUUUUUGUCAUUUUAUCAUCCUGCCUAACAUGUUUGUUGGUCUAGCUGAGGCAGUUUCAUUCAUAGGCUACUGAUAAUUCAAAAUACUGGAUGCUAACUGGUGACUAGUACUAAAUUAU